rnacentral:lncRNA from 1 species
GCGUCGCCGGGGCGGGUCCCCCUCAAAGCCCUGGGGGACUCGUGCCCGGAAGGGGGGGCGGCGCCCACAGGCUCCUUCGCUGGCAGGGCCUCCAGCUCCGUAGAAUGCGAGGGGUUUCAAAGUUGGAAGGCAGAGAAAUACAGAACUGAUGAUACAACUUUAUUUGGAAAAGGGUCACCUCCUGGUCCACAAUGGCUUCUUCCCCUGUUGGCUAGCAUGUUCAUAUUCUAGACAGCAGGUAAGAGAGAAGGCCAAAGGAGAAAAGAGAUCACGAGCCAGGGGCUUUUUGAAGUUUCUUGGAAGGAACUCUCAUGCUGUAUGGAGAGACAAGCCAGGGCAAGCAAACUUAGUAAAAGGAAUGUGUCACAUGUGCUUAAGGCUGCUAGUGCUGUUUGUCAUUUCUUGCAAAAGCCUGGUGAAGCUUUAGUUGCUGGUAAGUAGAGCUUGAAGUUCAUCUGUUCAUGGAAACAUUAAGCCUAGACUAAAGAAUUGCUGUCAUUUUAGCUAGUACCUCGUUUUCUAUACUUUAAAAAUAUAAACUGUUCUUAAUCAUUUUUACAAUCAUUUUUAUGACUGUUAUCUGUGUUGGAAAACACUAGGGAAAAUAAUAAUAAUAAUCUGAAUUCUAGAUUUUUGGGCACUGUUGUAAAUUUCUAGGUGUUUUUGUUUGAUAUUUUUAAAAUUACUUAAUUGGAAAGAAGAUCAAGAGAAAACAAUGUUUCAAAACAUUUGCAGUUCUUGAUAUAUGACUCAGAAAUGAGUAAGGCUAGGGAUAGGUUUGUUUGAUGUGCCAAAAUAUAUUUUAACGUUGCAUGAAAAAAACCCAGCUCUUUAAUGUUGGAUCUCAGGAGUCUCACUAAAUAUUUUUUUGAUGAAAUAGAUAAGACCAUUAUAGACUCUGGGCUCUAGUCCUUGGGCUCGUUUGUUUGUGGGUAUAAACAUGCCCUUUUUCUUUUGAAACUUUUGGAGAAUAUUUUCCAGAUACAGUUUUUAUUCAUUUUAGACACUGAAAAUAUAUGUCUAGUUUAUACAGAUCUGUG